CGACCGUUGAUUGCAGUAAAUAUACACAGAACCAACGUUGCAAAUUAUAUACAGAUCGUGACCUAACUCAUGAUGAGGAAUUUGAUCUUACUGUUGUUGCUAUUAUGCUCAGUUUCUUUGGUGGCAUGUAGCUUAACAGAAACCUUUGGCAAAAGAGCCUGCGCACGAUACAGGGGAAAAUGUUAUGACUGGAAACCAUGCUGUUGGGAAGAAUAUGUGUGCAGGGUCGCACACAAUGGAACAACAAUGAGGUGUCGAAGACCAGGGACUGGCUGGUAAAAAGCGUGAAGACAUUUAUGGAUGACCCAGGAGUCUUGUCAAAAGAAACAGCCAAUAGAUAUUUUUGU